AAGUCGAGCGGAAACGAAGAGGUGCUUGCACCUCUGGCGUCGAGCGGCGGACGGGUGAGUAAUGCUUGGGAAUAUGCCUUAUGGUGGGGGACAACAGUUGGAAACGACUGCUAAUACCGCAUGAUGUCUACGGACCAAAGUGGGGGACCUUCGGGCCUCACGCCAUAAGAUUAGCCCAAGUGGGAUUAGCUAGUUGGUGAGGUAAUGGCUCACCAAGGCGACGAUCCCUAGCUGGUUUGAGAGGAUGAUCAGCCACACUGGGACUGAGACACGGCCCAGACUCCUACGGGAGGCAGCAGUGGGGAAUAUUGCACAAUGGGCGCAAGCCUGAUGCAGCCAUGCCGCGUGUGUGAAGAAGGCCUUCGGGUUGUAAAGCACUUUCAGUAAGGAGGAAAGGUUAAGUGUUAAUAGCACUUAGCUGUGACGUUACCUACAGAAGAAGCACCGGCUAACUCCGUGCCAGCAGCCGCGGUAAUACGGAGGGUGCGAGCGUCAAUCGGAAUUACUG
rnacentral:rRNA from 1 species